rnacentral:rRNA from 1 species
UACAGGGGGGGCAAGCGUUGUUCGGAAUUACUGGGCGUAAAGGGCUCGUAGGUGGCCAACUAAGUCGGACGUGAAAUCCCUCAGCUUAACUGGGGAACUGCGUCCGAUACUGGAUGGCUUGAGUUUGGGAGAGGGAUGCGGAAUUCCAGGUGUAACGGUGAAAUGCGUAGAUAUCUGGAGGAACACCGGUGGCGAAGGCGGCAUCCUGGACCAACACUGACACUGAGGAGCGAAAGCCAGGGGAGCAAACGGG